UUUGCUUUUCUCACCAAAUAUGAUAAAAUUCCAAAAAUUUAGAUCUAGGAAGAAAUUCCGUCUAGUGAUCUUAACCCAAGCCAUUUAGUCACCAAAACAGAGUUUCUGUGACUCCUUGUUUGCUUUCUAGUUCCACUAUGUGUGGAAAAUCAAUACAAAGCUAGGGAAAGCCAAGAGAGCAUAUCCUCUAUGUAGUUGCAUGUUAAAAAUGGAGCAGUUUUAAAAGUAGAUAUUACAUGUGUGGGAAAGUAUGAUGAGGCCACACUGGAAAUGAAGGCUGUUACUAUUCAGAGAUUUGGGAGAAAAGUCAAAGACAAAAGAGACAAGGUAAAGUGGCCGUUAACUAUAGGUUAAGGGUCAGUAUAUUUAUAGGAAGGUUAAAUAGUUGCAGUUUUGUAUGAGAUUAAAAACUUGUUUUUGCUCUGGUUCUGAUCAACGUUAGCCUAUAAAUAGGAAGUUUCUACUGUUAUUUUAGAUCAAUUUGUCUUCCCAAAUAUGUUGCCUCAUCAUAUAACUAUUUAAAAUGCUUCACUGAAAAUUAAUGCAAUAAAAGUGAAAAAGCAAAAUCCAUUUAGCAGUCCACUAAAAAAGAAAGAUUGGGUAUGACCUUUCUUCUUCUGGAUAUUGUCCCCAAGGAAGCAAACUAGAAAUUGUACAGAAAUCUACAUGUGGUACUUGCAUAUAAUCUACAUGCUAUAUCACGUAAAAUAAUUUUCCUCUCAUACAUUUUUGGGUGAUUCAUUCAUACAGUAAACUUUUAUUAAAUAUGUUAUUUAAGAGAGAUACUAUUUUAGGCAUACAUGGUCUUAAUAAACAUGGUAGACGACCACAGUUUAACAGAAAUUGUAGCCAACAGAAAAAAUUGAUUAAAGCAGAGAAUCACCAAAAAAAUGAUGCACACAUACCUUAAAUACUUUGUUCUAACUCAAAACAUAUAAAUGUAUAUUCAUUUGCCAAUCUUUUGAUGUUGGGCCAGAUUUUUUUUUUUAGUUUGAAUCCAUCCUUUUUCUGUCCAGCAUGAACCAAAUACAAAAUGUAUCAUUUAAGAUUUCCAUUUGUGCUCUUUAAAGUGAAAAUGUAAAUAUAUUUGAGAAGCAGCAUAAGUACAUAUCUUUCCUAGAUGUUUGCAACAUCUUCCAAUAUUUUACAGUUGUCUUGGUUACAACUAAUUUGGCAGCAUUUUUUUAGUAUCUAUCUUUAUUGACUCUUUCAAAGCAACGCUUUUCUUGUUUGUUUCACGUUCAUAUUCUAAUUUCUUUAAUCAAUAAUUAAAUGCUUCAAUUCCAAAAGAAAAUAUACCUGAUAAAAGUUGAUCUUCAAAGAGACUGUUAAAAUUGUCCUUAGACUUGUAGGGUGGCAUUAGAACAGAAAGAAGAUUCUUUCUUGUGUUUACAAAGCCUUUGUGUAGACAGCAAAUGUAUCUCACAUUUCAUGUUUCCUCCUUCUGUAACUAUAAAAUUUCUGGUACACUGAAGAGUAGUUAUUUUGUAAAUAGUUGUUGACUGAAUGAGGGUGCACAAUUAAUUAUCCAAUCUUUACAGUACAUGCAAACCAUACAUGCAUGAAACAGUGUGUCUACUACUAAUUCUUUUAGCAAGCAACAUGACAUACUGAAAAGAGCGUGGAUAUUGUUGUUAAACAGACCAAAAUGCAGAUGCCAGCAUAUGUGGCUUCUGGUGAGUUAUUUAACCUAAAUCUUAACCUCUCAUCUGUAUAAGAGAGCUAAUAACACCAACCUCAGGAGUCAUUAUGAAGAUGAAAUAAGAUAAUAUACUGAAAGGGGUCACAGGUGGGUUCUCCAAGAAGCAGACUCUGAGAAGGAGUUGGAAUGUAGAAUGUUUAUUAGAGAGUGCUCUUAGAAUCAGCACCCAUGGCAGGGUAGGGAAGGAAGCAGGACUGGGCAGAUGGAACAUUGAGCUUUGACCCAGGCCUGACAACAGUUUCAGCUGACUCCUCAGAGAGUUUUAGAGCUAAAACAGGCCAUCAGAUUUCCCCAGGGUGCUGCAUCCCAGAUUCAGAAAGAAAAUUCAUCUGGACACUGUGAGAUUUCUGGAAUUCCCAAUUUUGCAGCAGGAAUCACGGUGAUGUCUGCAGAGCAUCUUUGUUCCUAUCUGGUCCAUGUGAAGUAAUGGGAGAAGAAUGUCCUGGCAGUAGCAACAGCAGAGGCUGGACGCAAGCUUUGUUCUGUUACCCUCAUCUCUUCUCAGCUGCUUUCAGACUUCAAAAAUGAACUUUCUGGUUUCAACAUUCACACCAUCUUAUAGUCAUUAUGGCAGAAUGAUAUCUGGACUCUGCCUAGGCACUGUAUUGACACCUUGGCUAUGCAUUAGGUUACAAAGCCAAAACCAAAGCUAAGGGGCGUUCAACAUAAUUGCUCCAAAUGACAGAAAUACCCAGGCAUAAUUCUUUGAUGGGCCUUUCUAUUGCAAAGAUAUGUAGAGAGAAUCUGGUUAUCUACAGCAACUAUCAGAUAAUUCUGUCAUGUUCAUUUCAUACUUUGGGAGGUAGAAGAGUGAGGAUGAGAGAUAUAAAAUGAAUGCACUGGCCAUGCAUAUAAGUCAGCCAUAUCACCUAGAAUGAAAAAAUUGUCAAGUGGUCUCCAAAUAAGGAGUAAAACCAAGUCUCAUGUUUGAUUCAUGUGUCUAUGGAAAACGUAUUUAUUUCAUUUCUAGGGACUACGUAGGCCAUGAAAGCUGGUAAUGUGUCAAUAGUCAGGCUUCUAGCCUUCAGACUCACAUUUGGGGACAAAGAAAAAGAAUUCUUGGGAUCUCAAUAGCAAGGUCUAGUGGAAGAAUUGUAUGUGUUCCUCCUAAAACUCUCCCAGCUAGGCUAAUGGGAAUACAGAAUAGCAUAUAAUACGUAUUUCUGCACAAGUUUUCCAUGAACAGAAAAGGGGCCAUAAUGGAGAGUGUAUACAGGAAAUCAAGAGAUGAUCAGAAAAUUAUAAUAAAACACAGUCUAUCUUAGCAAAAACGGUAACCUGGUCAAAACCACAUCCUGGUAAAAUAUUUUGCCAGCAUCCUCUGGGUAUUGAGUACCUUUUUUGCUUUUGCUUUCUCAUUAGAAAUGCAAACAUUAUGUGUGGUUUAUUUUUUCCCUCAAGAAUUUCCUCAGUGGCCUUUUCCCACUAGUUUUGAUGUCCUCAUGAAAUUAAGAGAAAACAACUGUGGGAAAGGAAUAAGUGUGUAUAGCAACCAGCAACCCAUAAGCGCAUAAUCAACCCAUGCCUUGGUCUCUAAGGCUUAAAUACCAUCACGAAAGGUGCAUAGAAAACAUCGGGCACUGGAGUCCAUGAACACUUGGUCUGUACAAUGUUUGCUUUUCACAGAAACCUGUCUCUAUAAUUUCCCUAGCUCAGGCUCUGCUAUAAUUACUUCCUCCACAGCUCGUACACUACCAUGCAUGCCUCAAUAUUACUGUAAGGACCUCUCCUGGGCAAGGGUCGUGUCUUUUAAAUUCUUCCUACUGCCACAGGUCAGAGUUUGGUACAGUGCACACAAAGGCACUCAAGGAGUACUCAUUUUUUAAAAUGCAUGAAACUCUCAUAACUUUCUGAGGCAGGAACUCGAAAGGAAGGUUAAAUUUUUCUUUGGACAGACACAGAGGGUUCAGUAUGGUGAAGCAAUAAAAGUGCUGUGGGCCAGUGAGCAGUACAGCCAGCCCAUAGAAUUUAACUAUACGUACAUGCACGAGGCAUGCUGGGAGGAAAUUCUUGGCCUGAGCUACCUGAGGCCCUGGACCCUCCUGCCAGCCAUUGAGAGGGGAGAGGUGGCCUUGGCUUUUAUGUCUGUUGGCUUUGACCUAGUCAGGGAAGAUGCCAAAGUCAGGUCUGGAUUGCUGAUCAUUUCCUUGGACCCCCAGAACCACAGGGCAAGCUUCCUCUCAUACUCAUCAUAUUCAUUUGUCAACAGCCCUGAAAAUAUGAAUAAAGAAAGGAGAGACGGAGAAAGAAGGAAAAGGAGAGGGAGAGAAGCGUAGGAAAGAGAGAGAGAAAGGAAUAGCCCCCAUCCCCCCAGACACACACACACAACAUAGCCCAGAUCUACCAAUUUGGUUUAGGAGAUUUAGUUAAAGCUGCACUAUCUUCAUUAAUGCCAUCAAGAAAUUUCAACUUUAGGCAGCCUUUAUCUUCAUGGCUUUUUCCUUAACUACAAUACCCUGCUACUAUUUUAUUUUCCAUGCCAAUUCUGCCUGACUUAUUUAGCUGUCAGGAAAAUGCUGUGUUACAGUACCACAGAAGACACUAAACUUGAUAGAAAGUCCUCUAACAUUUUAGUCCUGAAUUUUUACUAUUAAGCUUUCUUAUUCAAUCCCAAAAGAAACAGUGAGUAGGGUAACAAUGUUUAAUUUAACUACUUCUUUGAAUUUUGAAAAUGAUUUCAAAUUAGCCCCUGCUUAUAUUUGGGGAAAAUGUUAAGUAAAGUUCUCAAGUAACUUCACUUGACAGCAAAUUUUCAAAAUAAGUGAUGACCAUAGAGCCAUGACCAACUUCAGAUAGAUGUGUGUAAGUUCUUCCCAGAAGGUUGACUACCCCUGGCAUUGCUAAAUCAGGAGGGGACAGCCCACAAGUCUCCCUUUGGCAACAAGCACCCACACGUAGUCAGAAGUACAUAAAAGGAAAAAGUGAAAACAUCCUCUGUUUUGCCAAAAGCUUGUCUCAGUGUCUCCUCUGUUCUGGCACCACUUAUCUUCCAGAGCCUGGACCCCACCUAUUUUGAUAACUCAGUGAUGAAAAAUUCUAGCUACUGAUGCUUAUCCUCUGGACUUGACCUUUUCUCCUUCUAACCUCUGACAUCCAGUACUACCCUACUAUGAAUUCAAACUCCUUCCCUUAGUCUGUCUAAAACCAAAUAAGCCCCUCCUGCCAAUUCAUACUUUUUGUCUUGCUCAUCAUAAUCAUUCCUGUCCUACUGCUUCCCAGAGGGAUAGUUGGGCAUGAGUUUGCAUGCUACAAGGACUAGCACUCCCCAAACAGAAGACAUCACAUACUUCUCAGAACCAAUCACACACAAAUUAUCUAAAGAGUCCAUUCAAAUACACACCCCAAUAUUAAAGAAAAUGUGGGGUCGCUGUUAAGAUUUCUCCAGAGAGGAACUUGUGGUGAAAACCUUAAAAGGUG